CACGUAGGGACCAAGCGUUGUCCGGAUUCAUUGGGCGUAAAGAGCUCGUAGGCGGUUUGUCACGUCGGAUGUGAAACCCCGGGGCUUAACUCCGGGCCUGCAUUCGAUACGGGCUGACUAGAGUUCGGCAGGGGAGACUGGAAUUCCUGGUGUAGCGGUGAAAUGCGCAGAUAUCAGGAGGAACACCGGUGGCGAAGGCGGGUCUCUGGGCCGAUACUGACGCUGAGGAGCGAAAGCGUGGGGAGCGAACAGG
rnacentral:rRNA from 1 species